UACGUAGGGUGCGAGCGUUGUCCGGAUUCACUGGGUGUAAAGGGUCCGCAGGCGGGUCGGUCAGCCGUUGGUGAAAUUGCAGGGCUUAACUCUGAAACUGACGACGAUACUGCCGAUCUUGAGUACGGAAGAGGAAGAUGGAAUUCCUGGUGUAGCGGUGAAAUGCGUAGAUAUCAGGAAGAACACCGGUGGCGAAGGCGGUUUUCUGGUCCGUUACUGACGCUCAGGGACGAAAGCGUGGGGAGAAAACAGG
rnacentral:rRNA from 1 species